rnacentral:rRNA from 1 species
AGGGUUUGAUCCUGGCUCAGAGUGAACGCUGGCGGCGUGGAUAAGGCAUGCAAGUCGAGCGAUCUUGAUUGAGUAAGGUGAUUGACCGUAAGGAAGAUUGCCAAGCAAAAUCAGGAUAGCGGCAAAAGGGUGAGCAAUACAUGGGUAACUUACCUUAAAGAGAUGGAUAGCCUAUCGAAAGAUAGAGUAAUACAUCAUAGUAAGUUAAAUCGAAGGAUUUAACUUUAAAGAUAGCCUAUGCCUUCGGGUAUGCUGUCACUUUAAGAGAGGCCCAUGUCCUAUCAGGUAGUUGGCAGGGUAAUGGCCUACCAAGCCUAAGACGGGUAGCUGGCUUGAGAGAGUGGUCAGCCACACCGGGACUGAGACACUGCCCGGACUCCUACGGGAGGCUGCAGUCGAGAAUAUUUCCCAAUGGGCGAAAGCCUGAGGAUGCGACGCCGCGUGAGGGAUGAAGGUUUUCGGAUUGUAAACCUCUUUUAUUAGGGAGGAAAAGCAAAAGGUAAAUAGCUUUUUGCCUUGACUGUACCUGAUGAAUAAGCCACGGCUAACUCCGUGCCAGCAGCCGCGGUAAUACGGAGGUGGCAAGCGUUACUCGGUUUGACUGGGUGUAAAGGGUCCGCAGGCGGUCUUGUAAGUGAAGGGUGAAAUCUCUUGGCUUAACCAAGAAAUGGCUUUUCAAACUGCUAGACUCGAGGAUGGGAGAGGAGAGCGGAACUGUCGGUGUAAAGGUGAAAUUUGUGGAUAUCGACAGGAACGCCUGUGGGGAAGUCGGCUCUCUGGACCAUACCUGACGCUAAUGGACGAAAGCUAGGGGAGCAAACAGGAUUAGAUACCCUGGUAGUCCUAGCCGUAAACGAUGGGCACUAGGUGUUUUCACUUUAAGUGGAAGUGCCGUAGCUAACGCGUUAAGUGCCCCACCUGGGGACUAUGGCCGCAAGGUUAAAACUCAAAGGAAUUGACGGGGGCCCGCACAAGCGGUGGAACAUGUGGUUUAAUUCGAUGCUACGCGAGGAACCUUACCAGGGCUUGACAUGCUGGAAGUAACUACCUGAAAAGGUGUGUGACCUGUAUCCAAUCAGGACCCAGCACAGGUGCUGCAUGGUUGUCGUCAGCUCGUGCCGUGAGGUGUUCCUUUAAGUAGGAGAACGAGCGCAACCCUCGCUCUUAGUUGCUACCUCUGCCUUAAACAGAGCGCACUCUAUGGGGACUGCCCGCUUUAAGUGGGAGGAAGGUGGGGAUGACGUCAAAUCCGCAUGGCCCUUAUGUCCUGGGCUACACACGUGUUACAAUGCUUGCUACAAUGGGAGACUAAGCCGUAAGGUGGAGUAAAUCCUAAAAAAGCAAGCUCAGUCCAGAUCGAGGGCUGCAACUCGCCCUCGUGAAGCCGGAAUCGCUAGUAAUGGCGCAUCAGCAACGGCGCCGUGAAUACGUUCCCGGGCCUUGUACACACCGCCCGUCAAGCGCUGAAAGUAGGGAGCACCCAAAGCCCCGACCUAGUCGGGUUCACGGUGAGUUUUACGAUUGGCGCUAAGUCGUAACAAGGUA